UACGAAGGGGGCUAGCGUUGCUCGGAAUCAUUGGGCGUAAAGGGCACGUAGGCGGCUCGUUAAGUCAGGGGUGAAAUCCUGGAGCUCAACUCCAGAACUGCCUUUGAUACUGGCAAUCUCGAGUCCGGGAGAGGUGAGUGGAACUGCGAGUGUAGAGGUGAAAUUCGUAGAUAUUCGCAAGAACACCAGUGGCGAAGGCGGCUCACUGGCCCGGUACUGACGCUGAGGUGCGAAAGCGUGGGGAGCAAACAGG
rnacentral:rRNA from 1 species